UGCAAAACCAAAAUUGUUAUGAGAUAAUGGAAUUGUCAUAGCCAAAGUUCUCAACAUUGAGCUAAAGAGAAACGUAGAAUGUACGCUGACUAUCCUGAAGCCUAAUUCUAUAGCCUUGAA